rnacentral:rRNA from 1 species
GAGUUAUCUGAACCUUCGGGGAACGAUAACGGCGUCGAGCGGCGGACGGGUGAGUAAUGCCUAGGAAAUUGCCCUGAUGUGGGGGAUAACCAUUGGAAACGAUGGCUAAUACCGCAUAACGCCUACGGGCCAAAGAGGGGGACCUUCGGGCCUCUCGCGUCAGGAUAUGCCUAGGUGGGAUUAGCUAGUUGGUGAGGUAAGGGCUCACCAAGGCGACGAUCCCUAGCUGGUCUGAGAGGAUGAUCAGCCACACUGGAACUGAGACACGGUCCAGACUCCUACGGGAGGCAGCAGUGGGGAAUAUUGCACAAUGGGCGCAAGCCUGAUGCAGCCAUGCCGCGUGUGUGAAGAAGGCCUUCGGGUUGUAAAGCACUUUCAGUCGUGAGGAAGGCAGUAUCGUUAAUAGCGGUAUUGUUUGACGUUAGCGACAGAAGAAGCACCGGCUAACUCCGUGCCAGCAGCCGCGGUAAUACGGAGGGUGCGAGCGUUAAUCGGAAUUACUGGGCGUAAAGCGCAUGCAGGUGGUUUGUUAAGUCAGAUGUGAAAGCCCGGGGCUCAACCUCGGAAUAGCAUUUGAAACUGGCAGACUAGAGUACUGUAGAGGGGGGUAGAAUU